UACGUAGGGUGCAAGCGUUGUCCGGAAUUAUUGGGCGUAAAGAGCUCGUAGGCGGUUUGUCGCGUCUGCUGUGAAAAUCCAGGGCUUAACCCUGGACCUGCAGUGGGUACGGGCAGACUAGAGUGCGGUAGGGGAGAUCGGAAUUCCUGGUGUAGCGGUGAAAUGCGCAGAUAUCAGGAGGAACACCGGUGGCGAAGGCGGAUCUCUGGGCCCUACCUGACGCUGAGACGCGAAAGCGUGGGGAGCGAACCGG
rnacentral:rRNA from 1 species